AUGGCUACUAAAAAUGAAAAAUUCCACACGUGGCCUGCAUCAUCUUCCUGGUGGACAGUGCUGCCUGAGAGUUCCCUUUUUGCGCUUCCUAGUGAGCUAGUGAUCGACUUUACACCUAGUCCCCUUGUGAUGGGAAACCCUCUGUUGAAACAGCAGGGUCCUCGCCUCACUGGACCGGGACUCAGACCAGGUGGAAAUGAUGAUUUCAUACUCAUGGCCAAGCUGCCUCUCACCCCAGAUGGAGGAAGUGAAAGUUCCAGCCUUUGCGGUUAUUGUGGAUUAAAAGCAAAAAGAUUUUCGUGGAGGCGCCACCAAAGCCUGAAGUGUACCCGGUGGGCAGGACCCUCCACAGGCACCUCCACGCCCCACUCCUGCCCUGUGCCCGUAAUCCCAGCACUUUGGGAGGCUGAGGCGGGCAGAUCACUUGAGGUCAGGAGUUCGAGACCAGCCUCGCCAACAUGGCGAAACCCCAUGUCUACUAAAAAAAUACAAAAAUUAGCUGGGCGUGGUGGUGCACACCUGUAA
rnacentral:lncRNA from 1 species